rfam:Triticum aestivum genome assembly, contig: Triticum_aestivum_CS42_TGACv1_scaffold_543243_6DS
CCCAAAUUUCUUGUCUUAGAUUUGUCUAGAUACGGAUGUAUCUAAUACUAAAAUGUGACUUGAUACAUCCGUAUCUAGACAAAUCUAAGACAAGAAUUUUGGG